rnacentral:rRNA from 1 species
GACGAACGCUGGCGGCGUGCUUAACACAUGCAAGUCGAACGGAAAGGCCCCCACUUUUUUGGUGGGGGUGCUCGAGUGGCGAACGGGUGAGUAACACGUGGGUGAUCUGCCCUGUACUUCGGGAUAAGCUUGGGAAACUGGGUCUAAUACCGGAUAGGACCAUGGUUUAGUGUCUCAUGGUGGAAAAAUUAUUGUUUUGGUGCAGGAUGAGCUCGCGGCCUAUCAGCUUGUUGGUGGGGUAAUGGCCUACCAAGGCGUCGACGGGUAGCCGGCCUGAGAGGGUGGACGGGCACAUUUGGACCGAGAUUCGGGCCAAGCCCCCACGGGAGGGAGCAGUGGGGGAUUAUGGACAAUGGGGGCAAGGCUGAUGCAGCGACGCCGGGUGGGGGAUGACGGCCUUCGGGUUGUAAACUCCUUUCGUUAGGGACGAAGCCGCACCUUUUUUGGGUGUGGUGACGGUACCUUUGUUAAGAAGCACCGGCUAACUACGUG